UAUUGAACCUAAAGCAAAAACAUAGUUCAAGUUUCUCUCUCUAAAUUUGGUUUAAUUCUCUCUCUCCAAACUUACAUAAAUUGAUGAAUAUGUCUUGAGCACUCACCCCUCUCCUCCAAAAUGGGGUGGCUCCAAUCCCUCCUCUCUCCCUUCAAGAAGCUGUGGAUUCGUCUCAAUUCCGCUCAGAAGAAGAGUAGAGGGAUAUACAUUUUGUACGAGGAUGUGAAAUCGUGCCCUUACGAAGAUGUGCACGUGCUUUGGUCCAUAUUGGUGGAGUCGCAUCGGCCGCCACUGCCACUGCCAUUGCCACCGCCGCCGCCCAAGUGACUCGAGGCGUGUAACCAAAGAGAUUGAACACAUACAUGUACAUAAUUAAGAUAGAAACUUUCCUCCCCUUUUUGGGUUACCUUUUUCAAUUUUCACAUUGUGGUUUUUCAAUCAUGUUCGAGUGAGGAAAAGUUUUUAAAUUAUUCAAGUCUAUAGAGUUACAUUUCCUAUGAGUUAUGUAAUCAAUUAUAGUAUAUUACUAAAAAAACGUUUUUCUAAUAAAUAUUAUAUAGUAUACCAUAUCA